AAUGGCCUAACGGCUGAACUGGCAACUUGGAGAAGUGGCAAGUCUUACUUUGAUUAUAUUACUAUAUAUAAUCUAUAAGAUUGUAUUAAAAUUGAAUAAAGCUUUGUUUAUAUAUUGAUAAUGACAGUAUAUAUAUCGUGUCUUGACUAAUUACGUGCCAGCAGUCGCGGUAAUACGUAAGAGACUAGUGUUAUUCAUCUUAAUUAGGUUUAAAGGGUACCUAGACGGUCAAUAUAGCUUCUAUAAUGUUAGUACUUGACUAGAGUUUGAUAUAAGAGGGCAGUACUUGAGGAGGAGAGAUGAAAUUCUAUUAUACCAAAGGGACUCGGUAAAGGCGAAGGCAGCCCUCUAUGUAAAAACUGACGUUGAAGGACGAAGGCACAGAGAACAAACAGGAUUAGAUACCCAAGUAGUCUUUGCAGUAAAUGAUGAAUGCCAUAGGUUAGAUUGAGCUUUAAUAAAUUAGUUUAUCAGUAGUAAACUAACUAUUAAACAAUAUUUAGUCUAUAAAUGAAAGUGUAAGCAUUCCACCUCAAGAGUAAUGUGGCAACGCAGGAACUGAAAUCACUAGACCGUUUCUGACACCAGUAGUGAAGUAUGUUGUUUAAUUCGAUGAUCCACGAAAAACCUUACCACAAUUUGAAUAUUUUACAGGAGUUGCACGGCUGUUUUCAGUUAAUGUUGUGAAACUGUGGUUUCCAUGAAAUUAACGCAAUCCCUGGCUUUA
rnacentral:rRNA from 1 species